rnacentral:rRNA from 1 species
CCUACGGGUGGCAGCAGUGAGGAAUAUUGGUCAAUGGACGCAAGUCUGAACCAGCCAUGCCGCGUGCAGGAAGACGGCUCUAUGAGUUGUAAACUGCUUUUGUACGAGGGUAAACGCAGAUACGCGUAUCUGUCUGAAAGUAUCGUCCUAAUAAGGAUCGGCUAACUCCGUGCCAGCAGCCGCGGUAAUACGGAGGAUUCAAGCGUUAUCCGGAUUUAUUGGGUUUAAAGGGUGCGUAGGCGGUCGGAUAAGUUAGAGGUGAAAUUCCGGGGCUCAACUUCGGAAUUGCCUCUGAUACUGUUCGGCUAGAGAGUAGAUGCGGUAGGCGGAAUGUAUGGUGUAGCGGUGAAAUGCUUAGAGAUCAUACAGAACACCGAUUGCGAAGGCAGCUUACCAAGCUACUUCUGACGUGGAGGCACGAAAGCGUGGGGAGCAAACAGGAUUAGAUACCCCAGUAGUC